rnacentral:lncRNA from 1 species
CAAUGAGUUUGUAUCUCAGGACUUCCCAGGUUGAUAUUGAAAGUUUUCCUGCAGGGGUUAGUCCGUCAAAAUAUACCAAUGCCUACUCAAGUAGUUUUUAGUUCAGCAACCAAACUAGACUCCAUGUCUAAUCAGAUUAAGGAAGGCUAUUUAACCUAAGCACCAUGCUUAAUUUAAAAGCCAAUAGAAGUAUGUACAGUACUUCCAAACUCACACUUACUAGAAUAAACAAAGGUAGCAUGAUGGCUUAU